CGAACGGGUGAGUAACGCGUGGGGAACCUGCCUCAAAGAGGGGGACAACAGUUGGAAACGACUGCUAAUACCGCAUAAGCCCACGGCUCGGCAUCGAGCAGAGGGAAAAGGAGUGAUCCGCUUUGAGAUGGCCUCGCGUCCGAUUAGCUAGUUGGUGAGGUAACGGCCCACCAAGGCGACGAUCGGUAGCCGGACUGAGAGGUUGAACGGCCACAUUGGGACUGAGACACGGCCCAG
rnacentral:rRNA from 1 species